GUAAGCAGUCUGAGCCAUUUGGUUUUCAAGAGCCAGAGUAUUGAGAGAGAAAGAUGUGGGGAAAUUCUGCUGACUCGGCUUUGCCCACUAGAGAGGAGAGGCUGGAGAGGCUGAAGGAUGCCAAGAACCAUAGAGCUCUGGAAUAAACAGGUGGCACAGGGAGAGGUGACUGGAGGGGUCUGGCCAGAGCUUAGGUGAGGGGGUCCAGAAGGUGAGGGCUCAUGUGAUCAAAGCAGCGUGGGCUGCUGUCCUGGGGAGAAGGUGGUAGAACGCAGCCUCCUGGAGAGGUCGCUCUGGCUCAGCCCUGGGGACGCAGAGAAGGGAUGGCAGAGGGAGGGACAGAGGACAGCCUGCCAACCUUGAUUCUGGAACCAAGGGUAAGGGGUCGCGCAUGUGCCAUGUAGACCACAGACCCAAAGGAUUUAGAGUCAGGCUGAGAAGGACCUGUGAGACUUCCACUGACCUCAGGCACAGAAGGCGAGAGCUGUCAGCAUGGGGCGUCUGUGGCUAGGGGGGCAGCAGAGGCCAGCGGAAGACCCAGGCCAGCACAGGACUGGCUUUGGACGGCAUGGAAGGACAUGAAGAUCUCAGAGCCCAGGUCACCCCCUGGAGGAGAUAAGCUCCAGUGACCACAGAAGUCUGAGAAGGAUCAGGUGGUCUUUAAUUGGCAAAAGGAAGAUUUUUCUGUCUACGGUAACGCAGUUGUGCUUGGAGAAGAAAACCAUGCAGUCAGCUGUUUCUCUUGUUCCUGGCCGGCAUCCAGCCUGUGAGAGCUCCACCUGCCGUCCCUGGGGAUGCCAGGUUCCCCUCUGGCUCUUUGUUUCGUUCACCCUCCUGCUGACAAAGACCUGAGGUGCUUUAGGGA